UACGUAGGGUGCAAGCGUUGUCCGGAAUUAUUGGGCGUAAAGAGCUCGUAGGCGGUCUGUCACGUCGACUGUGAAAUCCCGAGGCUCAACCUCGGGCCUGCAGUCGAUACGGGCAGACUAGAGUUCGGUAGGGGAGACUGGAAUUCCUGGUGUAGCGGUGAAAUGCGCAGAUAUCAGGAGGAACACCGGUGGCGAAGGCGGGUCUCUGGGCCGAAACUGACGCUGAGGAGCGAAAGCGUGGGGAGCGAACAGG
rnacentral:rRNA from 1 species